UACGUAGGGACCAAGCGUUGUUCGGAUUUACUGGGCGUAAAGGGCGCGUAGGCGGCUUAACAAGUCACUUGUGAAAUCUCCGGGCUUAACUCGGAACGGCCAAGUGAACCUGUCAAGCUAGAGUGCAGAAGGGGCAAUCGGAAUUCUUGGUGUAGCGGUGAAAUGCGUAGAUAUCAAGAGGAACACCUGAGGUGAAGACGGGUUGCUGGGCUGACACUGACGCUGAGGCGCGAAAGCCAGGGGAGCAAACGGG
rnacentral:rRNA from 1 species